CCUGGUAGAUGAUGAUCUCUAGUUUAAUUCUUUUGAACUGAUUCAUUUUUUAUGGAAUAAUACUAAUUUUAGAUUUUUUAAUGACAUUGGAGUUUCUUGAUUACCUCUUUCAUUUUAUUUUUUUUUAUCAUUUCUUACAUUCUUUGUUAGUUGGUUUGGUGAUGUCUAUCAAUUGUACUUAUUUUUUACAGGAAAACAAUAAGUUCUGAGAGGAUGUUGUUGAUGCACUUUGUUCUUUGGCUCAUGCACUUCGUGACGAUUUCAAUAUUUUUAUACCAUCAAAAGAUUGACCUGACAACUCUAUGUUGAGAUUGUUAGUGAUCCGCUGGAUGAUGUCGAGAAUGAUCUUUAUGAAGCUGGAUCUGAUGCUCACAGACUCAAUAGUCAUCAGGGAUCUGCUUGCAACUGGGUGUGCAUGCUUUGAGACGUUGAGUCCCUUGGCUUAUAGUCUUCUGGCAGAAAUUAUACAUCAUGUUCGGCAAGAUACUUCUUUAUCAUAGGCUGCAGGUCUCUUUGAGUUUUUUGGAUGUUGGCUGCCUUUCAUGUUGUUGGCUGCUCUUUGAAUUUUUUGGAGUUAAAUUAUAUAUGUUGGAUUUGAUUUAGUAGUUUAAACUA